GGAGAUGGAAACAGGGAAUUUCCUACUCUCCUCCAUUCCCUGGACUCAUAGCCUUUUAAGACUCCAUCAGCCUCGAAGUUCAUUUGUGUGGCACUAAAAGUAAACCAAAAGCAGGAAGCUAAGGAUCUUUCACCUCUAAUGCACCCUGACCUUGGCUAUUUCAUGUCAGGGUCUGUGCAGUCUAAGCCCAGGCAGCCAACAUGCUUGGAGGAUACUUCAUGUAGUGGUACCUACAGCUCUUUCCAGAAGGCCAUGAAAAUCGAAUUACAUGGUGGGCUUGACUGAGACCAAUGUCUGAGACUUGUCCUUCUGAAGAAGUGGAUGUCUGCUGCCCACUUGUGAGAAUUGCUUGCAGCCAAACGUAAGGCCGUGGGCCCAGUUAGGCACCAGAGGGCUCAUCAGCUCAUUGUCGCCCACUUUAGUCUGCCGAGAUCCCACCCACUUGAUCUUGUCGGGAGAGAAGGCUGGUUCUUCCUCAGUCACCAGGGGCCAACGUCACCCUUGCAGAGUAUGUGAGCACCAAG
ensembl:lncRNA novel transcript